CAAACAUAUACAGCAGAUAUAUAUAAGAUGCAUAUUUUGUCGAGACACUCUUAGUUUGUCGUUUUAUUCUCUUGAUCAAGACGCCGUCUGGAAAAUCAUCACAUUGUGUCUUUGCCACGUCAUAUACAGACUGUCUUUUGAAGUUUAGACCAGAUUCAUCAUUAUCAAAUUUGUCUAUAAGCUUUCUUUCACAAGUUUUUCUGUCACAUUAUCCUAAUAUUUCAUCAAGUUCUUUAAUGAUAUCGUAGUCAUGGUCAUUAUGAUCUUGUGUGUCAUAUACUUGUGAAGAGUUCUUGUAAAUGCAAGGUUUCUUUACAUACAUUUCAAUGUACAAAUUCUUUCAAAUGUAAUUGUUUACUAAGUUGUGACAAUUGGUGUUUAGUUUUUUAUCCAUGGUGGUCCAAUAAUUAAAACACUUAAUUAAUAUCUAAAGUUCAUUUCCAUUUAAAUCCUUAUCAGUCAAAAUUGUAAACAAUGUGGCCCAGUAAAUUUCCAUUACCCUGUGGCCUUCACCUUCAUGUGUGAUGUCAAAGCUCACAGGUCACAUCAUGACCUCUCCAAAGCUCAUGCAUUUUGGAGCACAUGCUUACCAGUGUGUAUUGGACCUCCAUGCUGCCUGGUUGUCACCCAGCUGACUGUAAGCUGAACUAUGUAAAGACACAUAUUUUUCUGAACCUCAUCAGCUCAUCAGCAACUUUACUCUUCAAGUGAACGCAAUAAUAUUCAUCAAGUCCUCAGCAGCAGCCAUUUAUUAUGAACUGUAAUUUCUUAAAUAUCAAUACAUUAAACCCUGUU